rnacentral:rRNA from 1 species
AGAGUUUGAUCCUGGCUCAGGACGAACGCUGGCGGCGUGCUUAACACAUGCAAGUCGAACGGAAAGGCCCUUCGGGGUACUCGAGUGGCGAACGGGUGAGUAACACGUGGGUGAUCUGCCCUGCACUUUGGGAUAAGCCUGGGAAACUGGGUCUAAUACCGAAUAUGACCAUGCGCCUCCUGGUGUGUGGUGGAAAGCUUUUGCGGUGUGGGAUGGGCCCGCGGCCUAUCAGCUUGUUGGUGGGGUAAUGGCCUACCAAGGCGACGACGGGUAGCCAGCCUGAGAGGGUGACCGGCCACACUGGGACUGAGAUACGGCCCAGACUCCUACGGGAGGCAGCAGUGGGGAAUAUUGCACAAUGGGCGCAAGCCUGAUGCAGCGACGCCGCGUGAGGGAUGACGGCCUUCGGGUUGUAAACCUCUUUCAGCACAGACGAAGCGCAAGUGACGGUAUGUGCAGAAGAAGGACCGGCCAACUACGUGCCAGCAGCCGCGGUAAUACGUAGGGUCCGAGCGUUGUCCGGAAUUACUGGGCGUAAAGAGCUCGUAGGUGGUUUGUCGCGUUGUUCGUGAAAACUCACAGCUUAACUGUGGGCGUGCGGGCGAUACGGGCAGACUUGAGUACUGCAGGGGAGACUGGAAUUCCUGGUGUAGCGGUGGAAUGCGCAGAUAUCAGGAGGAACACCGGUGGCGAAGGCGGGUCUCUGGGCAGUAACUGACGCUGAGGAGCGAAAGCGUGGGGAGCGAACAGGAUUAGAUACCCUGGUAGUCC